rnacentral:lncRNA from 1 species
AAAUAGCUCUACAGAGCCUGAAAGCAACAUAAUUGUAUAAUUCCUCUUUGCUCUGGAGGAGAGGACGCCUGUUUAGCAUGCUAUCAUGUUUUAUUAUGUCAGACUCCAGGAUCAUGCUACCUUUGACUGGGUCUUUCUGAAGAUAACGUAAGUGAUCUGCAAUUUAUGCUGAUUCCAGUGACACAGCAGUUGGUGGACAGCAGUAUUAGGUUUGAAAUAACUGGCCCAGAAAUUUACAAACUUACCUGUUAAAAAAGGAAAGAUGGACCCGGUGAUGGGUAGACUGAAAUUCU